rnacentral:rRNA from 1 species
UCGACCGCCUGGGGAGUACGGCCGCAAGGUUAAAACUCAAAUGAAUUGACGGGGGCCCGCACAAGCGGUGGAGCAUGUGGUUUAAUUCGAUGCAACGCGAAGAACCUUACCUGGUCUUGACAUCCACAGAACUUUCCAGAGAUGGAUUGGUGCCUUCGGGAACUGUGAGACAGGUGCUGCAUGGCUGUCGUCAGCUCGUGUUGUGAAAUGUUGGGUUAAGUCCCGCAACGAGCGCAACCCUUAUCCUUUGUUGCCAGCGGUUAGGCCGGGAACUCAAAGGAGACUGCCAGUGAUAAACUGGAGGAAGGUGGGGAUGACGUCAAGUCAUCAUGGCCCUUACGACCAGGGCUACACACGUGCUACAAUGGCAUAUACAAAGAGAAGCGACCUCGCGAGAGCAAGCGGACCUCAUAAAGUAUGUCGUAGUCCGGAUUGGAGUCUGCAACUCGACUCCAUGAAGUCGGAAUCGCUAGUAAUCGUAGAUCAGAAUGCUACGGUGAAUACGUUCCCGGGCCUUGUACACACCGCCCGUCACACCAUGGGAGUGGGUUGCAAAAGAAGUAGGUAGCUUAACCUUCGGGAGGGCGCUUACCACUUUGUGAUUCAUGACUGGGGUGAAGUCGUAACAA